GAACCCCCAUAUCAGUCAGGCCAGUCUCACUCUAGGGGUGCUCCAGCCCCUCCAGGUAGACCAGCUGUCAGGAAGUCAUGGAACGCUUUCCUAGCCCACAUCACAGAAGGAAGGCCAGAGAUUUAACCCGAUACCUGAAUGGGAACAUCUGCCUUCCCCAGCCAAAAUGGAAAACCUGAGUCCAGUACCGGAAACACUAGCUUACCAACCAUUUUGCUUUACAAGUGAAUUCUGGCAGAUUUCUGAGGAUGAUGAUAAGCAGGUGCCGGGAAUGCAUUCCUGGGAACAUGGAGUUCCUGCUCGUUACCACAGAAGAUGCUACAUAGGACUGCCCGGAGGCAUGAAGUAGUGAUCUAACAAGCUUACUAACUCAAUAAAAAUGGCAUAUGCCUUCAAAAGAAAACAGAAAA